rnacentral:rRNA from 1 species
AGAGUUUGAUCCUGGCUCAGGAUGAACGCUAGCGACAGGCUUAACACAUGCAAGUCGAGGGGCAGCACAGGUAGCAAUACCGGGUGGCGACCGGCGCACGGGUGAGUAACGCGUAUGCAACUUACCUAUCAGAGGGGGAUAACCCGGCGAAAGUCGGACUAAUACCGCAUGAAGCAGGGGCCCCGCAUGGGGAUAUUUGCUAAAGAUUCAUCGCUGAUAGAUAGGCAUGCGUUCCAUUAGGCAGUUGGCGGGGUAACGGCCCACCAAACCGACGAUGGAUAGGGGUUCUGAGAGGAAGGUCCCCCACAUUGGUACUGAGACACGGACCAAACUCCUACGGGAGGCAGCAGUGAGGAAUAUUGGUCAAUGGGCGUAAGCCUGAACCAGCCAAGUCGCGUGAGGGAUGAAGGUUCUAUGGAUCGUAAACCUCUUUUAUAAGGGAAUAAAGUGCGGGACGUGUCCCGUUUUGUAUGUACCUUAUGAAUAAGGAUCGGCUAACUCCGUGCCAGCAGCCGCGGUAAUACGGAGGAUCCGAGCGUUAUCCGGAUUUAUUGGGUUUAAAGGGUGCGUAGGCGGCCUUUUAAGUCAGCGGUGAAAGUCUGUGGCUCAACCAUAGAAUUGCCGUUGAAACUGGGGGACUUGAGUAUGUUUGAGGUAGGCGGAAUGCGUGGUGUAGCGGUGAAAUGCUUAGAUAUCACGCAGAACCCCGAUUGCGAAGGCAGCCUGCCAAGCCAUGACUGACGCUGAUGCACGAAAGCGUGGGGAUCAAACAGGAUUAGAUACCCUGGUAGUCCACGCAGUAAACGAUGAUCACUAGCUGUUUGCGAUACAGUGUAAGCGGCACAGCGAAAGCGUUAAGUGAUCCACCUGGGGAGUACGCCGGCAACGGUGAAACUCAAAGGAAUUGACGGGGGCC